rnacentral:rRNA from 1 species
UACAGAGGUGGCAAGCGUUGUUCGGAAUUACUGGGCGUAAAGCGCACGCAGGCGGUCCUCUGCGUAGAGGGUGACAGUGCUCGGCUUAACUGAGCAAGCGCUCUUUAAACGAGGGGACUUGAGGGCCAGAGAGGGAGACGGAACUCCGGGUGGAGCGGUGAAAUGCGUAGAGAUCCGGAAGAACACCGAAGGCGAAGGCAGUCUCCUGGCUGGUUCCUGACGCUCAGGUGCGAAAGCGAGGGGAGCAAACAGG